UCUCCGCGCGCGCCGCCCAGCUCCACCUGGUGGCCUUGUCCCCGCCUGGUGGCCGGCCCGCCGGGAUGCUGGAGGACCGCUCUGCACGCCCAGCGCCACGGAUGGCAGAGACGGGCCGAGGUCCGCAGCUGUCCGCCCUUCUUUUCACCCUCUCCUCCAGCUCCACGGCCCUCAUUCUGAAAAGCAUUGUAUUUGAAACAGACUGUUUGGAAAUAUGAUUAAAGACUAUUUCAUGAACACAAAGGAAUAUACUAUACAACAUGGAAAGUUUGGAGAAACAAAGCUAAACAAGUUUGCUUCUACUGCUGGACUCCCUGUCUUUCUUCCCAAGCUGCACCUUCCUGCUCCUAUCCUCAUAGUAUGUUCACUCAGGAGGAAGCCAGCUGCCAUGUCACAAGGACACUCAGACAGCUCUGUGGAAAGGCCCAUACAGUGAGGAGCUGAGUCCUCCAGCCGACAGUCAUGUGAAUUAAGUCAUCUAGGAAGUAGACUCUUCAGCUACAGUCAAACUUUCAGAUGCCUGUGGCCCUGGCAAACAUUCUGACUCCAUCUUCAAGAAAGACCUUGGGCCAGAAGCACUGUUCCCAGAAUCUUGACCCACAGAAAGAGAGUGGGAGCUACAUCAAGUCUUCAAGCAUAAAAAGAAGUAGCCACGUUAUCCUCUCUGGGAGCAAUGUGUAAAGACUUCAAAUGGCAUUUAUUCCUUUAGCUCCUCCCCCAGAAGAGGAAAAACAUGAUUUCAGUUUGGCGCCAAGACUUUCAGCAUGCAUGAGGCAAUAUAAGGAAUGGCUGGACUGCUUUGUGAAUAACUCAAAAUUGGACAUUUGCAGCAUGAUGGCUUAAUUCCCAAAGGAAAUCAUGAACCUGAACCUCUGGAAAUAUGAUUGUCACCUUAUUUGAGUUUCCUGAAUAAGAACAAUCACAUAGUAAAUAUCCUGCAAUUGUU